GAGUUUGAUCAUGGCUCAGAUUGAACGCUGGCGGCGUGCCUAACACAUGCAAGUCGAGCGGUAACAGGUGUAGCAAUACAUGCUGACGAGCGGCGAACGGGUGAGUAAUGCUUCGGAAUCUACCCUCUAGUGGGGAAUAACCAGCCGAAAGGUUGGCUAAUACCGCAUACGUCCUACGGGAGAAAGCAGGGGAUCGUAAGACCUUGCGCUGAUGGAUGAGCCGAAGUCGGAUUAGCUAGUUGGUGAGGUAACGGCUCACCAAGGCGACGAUCCGUAGCUGGUCUGAGAGGACGACCAGCCACACUGGAACUGAGACACGGUCCAGACUCCUACGGGAGGCAGCAGUGGGGAAUAUUGGACAAUGGGGGAAACCCUGAUCCAGCGACGCCGCGUGUGUGAAGAAGGCCUGCGGGUUGUAAGCACUUUUAGUGGGGAUGAAAUGUGCAGGGCUAAUAUCUCUGCAUUUUGACCUAACCCACAGAAAAAGCACCGGCUAACUCUGUGCCAGCAGCCGCGGUAAUACG
rnacentral:rRNA from 1 species